AUAAGACAUGCUAGUCAAGCGCUUUCUAGCUAAUGUGAGAGCGCGGCGUACAGCUCAGUAACACGUGGCCAACCUGCCCUUGGGACGGGAACACCCCCGGGAAACUGGGGUUAAUUCCCGAUAGGUGAAGAAGUCUGGAAUGACUCUUCGCUCAAAAGACGUUUAUGUCAUGCUCAUAUUCGUCGCCCAGGGAUGGGGCCGCGACCGAUCAGGUAGUUGGUGAGGCAAUGGCUCACCAAGCCUUUUACCGGUGCGGGCCGUGAGAGCGGGAGCCCGGAGAUGGGCACUAAGACAAGGGCCCAGGCCCCACGGGGCGCAGCAGUCGCGAAAAUUUUGCAAUACACGAAAGUGUGACAGAGCUAUCCCGAGUGCCAUCCGCUGAGGAAGGCUUUUACCCAGUAUAAAUAGCUGGGAGGAUAAGGAGAGGGCAAGUCUGGUGUCAGCCGCCGCGGUAAUACCAGCUCUCCGAGUAGUGUGGACGUUUAUUGGGCCUAAUGCAUCCGUAGCUUGCUAGAUAAGUCCUCUGUUAAAUCCACCGAUUCAAUCGUUGGAUUGCGGGGGAUACUGUUUGGCUAGGGGACGGGAGAGGUCGACGGUAUUUCCGGGGUAGGGGUGAAAUCCUAUAAUCCCGGGAGGACCACCAGUGGCGAAGGCUGUCGACUAGAACGCGCCCGACGGUGAGGGAUGAAAGCUGGGGGAGCGAACCGGAUUAGAUACCCGGGUAGUCCCAGCUGUAAACGAUGCAGGCUAGGUGUUUGGGCGGCCACGAGCCGCCCUAGUGCCGCAGGGAAGCUGUUAAGCCUGCCGCCUGGGGAGUACGGCCGCAAGGCUGAAACUUAAAGGAAUUGGCGGGGGAGCACCACAAGGGGUGAAGCUUGCGGUUUAAUUGGAUUCAACGCCGGAAAUCACU
rnacentral:rRNA from 1 species